AGUGAACGCUGGCGGUAGGCCUAACACAUGCAAGUCGAACGGCAGCACAGGAGAGCUUGCUCUCUGGGUGGCGAGUGGCGGACGGGUGAGGAAUACAUCGGAAUCUACCUUUUCGUGGGGGAUAACGUAGGGAAACUUACGCUAAUACCGCAUACGACCUACGGGUGAACGUGGGGGACCGCAAGGCCUCACGCGAUUAGAUGAGCCGAUGUCCGAUUAGCUAGUUGGCGGGGUAAUGGCCCACCAAGGCGACGAUCGGUAGCUGGUCUGAGAGGAUGAUCAGCCACACUGGAACUGAGACACGGUCCAGACUCCUACGGGAGGCAGCAGUGGGGAAUAUUGGACAAUGGGCGCAAGCCUGAUCCAGCCAUACCGCGUGGGUGAAGAAGGCCUUCGGGUUGUAAAGCCCUUUUGUUGGGAAAGAAAUCCUAUCGGUUAAUAACCGGUGGGGAUGAUGGUACCCAAAGAAUAAGCACCGGCUAACUUCGUGCCAGCAGCCGCAGUAAAAC
rnacentral:rRNA from 1 species